rnacentral:rRNA from 1 species
GUCCACGCCGUAAACGGUGGGCACUAGGUGUGGGGACCAUUCCACGGUCUCUGCGCCGCAGCUAACGCAUUAAGUGCCCCGCCUGGGGAGUACGGCCGCAAGGCUAAAACUCAAAGGAAUUGACGGGGGCCCGCACAAGCGGCGGAGCAUGCGGCUUAAUUCGAAGCAACGCGAAGAACCUUACCUAGGCUUGACAUGCAGGGAAAACUGGCAGAGAUGUCAGGUCCUUCGGGCCUUGCACAGGUGGUGCAUGGCUGUCGU